rnacentral:rRNA from 1 species
CCUACGGGGUGCUGCAGUGGGGAAUAUUGGACAAUGGGCGAAAGCCUGAUCCAGCCAUGCCGCGUGUGUGAAGAAGGCCUUCGGGUUGUAAAGCACUUUCAGUGGGGAAGAAAGCCUUGGGGCUAAUACCCUCGAGGAAGGACAUCACCCACAGAAGAAGCACCGGCUAACUCCGUGCCAGCAGCCGCGGUAAUACGGAGGGUGCGAGCGUUAAUCGGAAUUACUGGGCGUAAAGCGCGAGUAGGCGGUCUGAUAAGCCGGUUGUGAAAGCCCCGGGCUCAACCUGGGAACGGCAUCCGGAACUGUCAGGCUAGAGUGCAGGAGAGGAAGGUAGAAUUCCCGGUGUAGCGGUGAAAUGCGUAGAGAUCGGGAGGAAUACCAGUGGCGAAGGCGGCCUUCUGGACUGACACUGACGCUGAGGUGCGAAAGCGUGGGUAGCAAACAGGAUUAGAUACCCGAGUAGUC